rnacentral:piRNA from 1 species
GUACAAAUGAUGACAGCAAAGUGAAGACA